rnacentral:rRNA from 1 species
UAGGGAAUAUUAGAAAUGGACGAAAGUCUGAUCUAGCAACACCGCGUGUGCGAAGAAGGCCUUCGGGUCGUAAAGCACUUUUUGGAAGGAAUAGGAAGGAAUGUACUUCCAGAAUAAGUCUCGGCUAACUACGUGCCAGCAGCCGCGGUAACACGUAGGAGGCAAACGUUAUCCGGAUUUACUGGGCGUAAAGCGCGUGUAGGUGGUACUGUAAGUAGGGCGCGAAAGCUCCUGGCUCAACUGGGAGAGGCCGUUCUAAACUGCAGAACUAGAGGAUGGUAGAGGGAGGUGGAAUUUCAGGUGUAGCGGUGGAAUGCGCAGAUAUCUGAAGGAACACCAGUGGCGAAAGCGGCCUCCUGGACCAUUCCUGACACUCAGACGCGAAAGCUAGGGUAGCAAACG